rfam:Cucumis sativus cultivar 9930 chromosome 6, whole genome shotgun sequence.
GUGUUUGACUAAAGGGAGAGAUGGUUAGCAUCUCCCCUGAGAGGGUUGGGAACAGCCUUUGGGCUUCCCUGUUUAACACAUACGGUUAUAGAAUCCUUUGCUGUGAGAGCACCAAGAACAAACAAAAACUAUAA